rnacentral:rRNA from 1 species
CGCCUGGGGAGUACGGCCGCAAGGUUAAAACUCAAAUGAAUUGACGGGGGCCCGCACGAGCGGUGGAGCAUGUGGUUUAAUUCGACGCAACGCGAAGAACCUUACCUGGCCUUGACAUCCAGAGAGCUUUCCAGAGAUGGAUUGGUGCCUUCGGGAACUCUGAGACAGGUGCUGCAUGGCCGUCGUCAGCUCGUGUCGUGAGAUGUUGGGUUAAGUCCCGUAACGAGCGCAACCCCUAUCCCUGGUUGCUAGCAGGUAAUGCUGAGAACUCCAGGGAGACUGCCGGUGACAAACCGGAGGAAGGUGGGGAUGACGUCAGGUCAUCAUGGCCCUUACGGCCAGGGCUACACACGUGCUACAAUGGCGCGUACAGAGGGCUGCCAACUCGCGAGAGUGAGCCAAUCCCUUAAAACGCGUCGUAGUCCGGAUCGGAGUCUGCAACUCGACUCCGUGAAGUCGGAAUCGCUAGUAAUCGCGAAUCAGAAUGUCGCGGUGAAUACGUUCCCGGGCCUUGUACACACCGCCCGUCACACCAUGGGAGUGGAUUGCACCAGAAGUAGUUAGUCUAACCUUCGGGAGGACGAUUACCAUGGUGUGGUUCAUGACUGGGGUGAAGUCGUAACAAGGUAACCGUA